GAUGAACGCUAGCGGCAGGCUUAACACAUGCAAGUCGAGGGGUAGAAGUUGCUUGCAACUUUGAGACCGGCGCACGGGUGCGUAACGCGUAUGCAAUCUACCUUAUACAGAGGGAUAGCCCAGAGAAAUUUGGAUUAAUACCUCAUAGUAUAAUUGAAUGGCAUCGUUUAAUUAUUAAAGUUCCAACGGUAUAAGAUGAGCAUGCGUCCUAUUAGCUAGAUGGUAAGGUAACGGCUUACCAUGGCAACGAUAGGUAGGGGUCCUGAGAGGGAGAUCCCCCACACUGGUACUGAGACACGGACCAGACUCCUACGGGAGGCAGCAGUGAGGAAUAUUGGACAAUGGGCGCAAGCCUGAUCCAGCCAUGCCGCGUGCAGGAAGAAGCAUCUAUGGUGUGUAAACUGCUUUUGUACGGGAAGAAACACUCCUUCGUGAAGGAGCUUGACGGUACCGUAAGAAUAAGGAUCGGCUAACUCCGUGCCAGCAGCCGCCGUAACAC
rnacentral:rRNA from 1 species